AGGAAAAAGAACAGGGAAAUGCUCAAUCAGAGAGGGUCUGUUCACAGAUCCUCUUUAAACAAAGCUGUCUUCCAUGGACAAAGUAACCGCCUGCUAGCUGGCUGUAAAGGAGCUCAGUUCCUCAAUCAAGGUAAGACAAGCAGACUGACAGGAAAUGGAGGCAGAAGUGUAGUGUGCAUGUUGCUUAGGGAACAAAGUUCUUUACCUUAUUCCUCAUCGCCCUCAGAAGAUCCCGCACGGAGCCUCCUUUGUAGGAUCUGAAUUUUCGAAGAUCUGCAAGAGAAAUGACAGGAUUUCUGCUUGUGCUUUGGUGCAGUUUUAGUUGCUGGCUUCAAGUCAGCUGCUUGACUAUAGGCCCAUCUAAAGUUUCUUUCUCUAUCCGGUCACUAACAUCCU